GAUGAACGCUGGCUGCGUGCCUAAUACAUGCAAGUCGAGCGAACGGACGAGAAGCUUGCUUUUCUGAUGUUAGCGGCGGACGGGUGAGUAACACGUGGAUAACCUACCUAUAAGACUGGGAUAACUUCGGGAAACCGGAGCUAAUACCGGAUAAUAUUUUGAACCGCAUGGUUCAAAAGUGAAAGACGGUCUUGCUGUCACUUAUAGAUGGAUCCGCGCUGCAUUAGCUAGUUGGUAAGGUAACGGCUUACCAAGGCAACGAUGCAUAGCCGACCUGAGAGGGUGAUCGGCCACACUGGAACUGAGACACGGUCCAGACUCCUACGGGAGGCAGCAGUAGGGAAUCUUCCGCAAUGGGCGAAAGCCUGACGGAGCAACGCCGCGUGAGUGAUGAAGGUCUUCGGAUCGUAAAACUCUGUUAUUAGGGAAGAACAUAUGUGUAAGUAACUGUGCACAUCUUGACGGUACCUAAUCAGAAAGCCACGGCUAACUACGUGCCAGCAGCCGCGGUAAUACGUAGGUGGCAAGCGUUAUCCGGAAUUAUUGGGCGUAAAGCGCGCGUAGGCGGUUUUUUAAGUCUGAUGUGAAAGCCCACGGCUCAACCGUGGAGGGUCAUUGGAAACUGGAAAACUUGAGUGCAGAAGAGGAGAGUGGAAUUCCAUGUGUAGCGGUGAAAUGCGCAGAGAUGUGGAGGAACACCAGUGGCGAAGGCGACUUUCUGGUCUGUAACUGACGCUGAUGUGCGAAAGCGUGGGGAUCAAACAGGAUUAGAUACCCUGGUAGUCCACGCCGUAAACGAUGAGUGCUAAGUGUUAGGGGGUUUCCGCCCCUUAGUGCUGCAGCUAACGCAUUAAGCACUCCGCCUGGGGAGUACGACCGCAAGGUUGAAACUCAAAGGAAUUGACGGGGGCCCGCACAAGCGGUGGAGCAUGUGGUUUAAUUCGAAGCAACGCGAAGAACCUUACCAAAUCUUGACAUCCUUUGACAACUCUAGAGAUAGAGCCUUCCCCUUCGGGGGACAAAGUGACAGGUGGUGCAUGGUUGUCGUCAGCUCGUGUCGUGAGAUGUUGGGUUAAGUCCCGCAACGAGCGCAACCCUUAAGCUUAGUUGCCAUCAUUAAGUUGGGCACUCUAAGUUGACUGCCGGUGACAAACCGGAGGAAGGUGGGGAUGACGUCAAAUCAUCAUGCCCCUUAUGAUUUGGGCUACACACGUGCUACAAUGGACAAUACAAAGGGCAGCGAAACCGCGAGGUCAAGCAAAUCCCAUAAAGUUGUUCUCAGUUCGGAUUGUAGUCUGCAACUCGACUACAUGAAGCUGGAAUCGCUAGUAAUCGUAGAUCAGCAUGCUACGGUGAAUACGUUCCCGGGUCU
rnacentral:rRNA from 1 species